UACGAAGGGGGCGAGCGUUGUUCGGAUUUACUGGGCGUAAAGGGCGCGCAGGCGGCUCAUUUUGUCAGGCGUGAAAGCCCCGGGCUUAACCUGGGAACUGCGUUUGAUACGGAUGGGCUAGAGUUCGGGAGAGGAGAGUGGAAUUCCCAGUGUAGAGGUGAAAUUCGUAGAUAUUGGGAAGAACACCGGUGGCGAAGGCGGCUCUCUGGACCGAUACUGACGCUGAGGCGCGAAAGCGU
rnacentral:rRNA from 1 species